rnacentral:rRNA from 1 species
UGGGGAAUAUUGCACAAUGGGCGCAAGCCUGAUGCAGCGACGCCGCGUGAGGGAUGACGGCCUUCGGGUUGUAAACCUCUUUCAGUAGGGAAGAAGCGAAAGUGACGGUACCUGCAGAAGAAGCACCGGCUAACUACGUGCCAGCAGCCGCGGUAAUACGUAGGGUGCGAGCGUUAUCCGGAAUUAUUGGGCGUAAAGAGCUCGUAGGCGGUUUGUCGCGUCUGUCGUGAAAGUCCGGGGCUUAACCCCGGAUCUGCGGUGGGUACGGGCAGACUAGAGUGCAGUAGGGGAGACUGGAAUUCCUGGUGUAGCGGUGGAAUGCGCAGAUAUCAGGAGGAACACCGAUGGCGAAGGCAGGUCUCUGGGCUGUAACUGACGCUGAGGAGCGAAAGCAUGGGGA